rnacentral:rRNA from 1 species
GCAAGUCGAGGGGUAACGGAAGUAGCUUGCUACUAGACGACGACCGGCGCACGGGUGAGUAACGCGUAUGUAAUCUGCCUUGUACAGAGGGAUAGCCCAGAGAAAUUUGGAUUAAUACCUCAUAGUAUUACUGAGUCGCAUGAUUUGGUAAUUAAAGCUCCGGCGGUACAAGAUGAACAUGCGUGACAUUAGCUAGUUGGUAAGGUAACGGCUUACCAAGGCUACGAUGUCUAGGGGUUCUGAGAGGAUGAUCCCCCACACUGGUACUGAGACACGGACCAGACUCCUACGGGAGGCAGCAGUGAGGAAUAUUGGUCAAUGGACGCAAGUCUGAACCAGCCAUCCCGCGUGAAGGAUGACUGCCCUAUGGGUUGUAAACUUCUUUUAUAUGCAAAUAAACCUACUUUCGUGAAAGUAGCUGAAGGUAGCAUAUGAAUAAACACCGGCUAACUCCGUGCCAGCAGCCGCGGUAAUACGGAGGGUGUAAGCGUUAUCCGGAUUUAUUGGGUUUAAAGGGUAC